rnacentral:piRNA from 1 species
UAGAAUUUUCCAAGUUUCUUCCUUCCUGAAC